UAGGGAAUCUUCCACAAUGGACGCAAGUCUGAUGGAGCAACGCCGCGUGAGUGAAGAAGGUUUUCGGACCGUAAAGCUCUGUUGUUGGUGAAGAAGGAUAGAGGUAGUAACUGGCCUUUAUUUGACGGUAAUCAACCAGAAAGUCACGGCUAACUACGUGCCAGCAGCCGCGGUAAUACGUAGGUGGCAAGCGUUGUCCGGAUUUAUUGGGCGUAAAGCGAGCGCAGGCGGAAGAAUAAGUCUGAUGUGAAAGCCCUCGGCUUAACCGGAGAAGUGCUCGGAAAA
rnacentral:rRNA from 1 species